rnacentral:lncRNA from 1 species
CAGCCCUUCUCAAACUUGUUUUUGGCAGAAUUAUGGCUUUGAACUACAAGUACUAGCUACACUCCUUCCCGUGAGCUGGAAGUUAGCAGUAUUGUAGUCUUUGUAUAGCUAGCACCGCUAGACAUGGUUUCAUCGCAAGAUUCCCCCACUGAAAAACCACUUUUGCUAGCCCCGAGUCUGCUGCAAGAAACUUAAUCAGUGAUGAAACCCAGCCUAAUUAGCCCC